rnacentral:tmRNA from 1 species
AAGGGGCUGUCUUGGUUUUGACAUUUAAAAGUUAAGUAAAGUAUGAUGCAGGUCGAAGCAGUUAUUCUUCGUAAAAACAUACAAUUUUAUAAUAAAUGCUAACAAUAUAAUUUCGUUUAAUUUUACUCAAGCAAAUAAGAAUAGAAAUUCUCUAAAUUUUGCUUUUUAGUAUAUAACUUAUUUAGUUAAAUUUAUUUGUUCACUAUAACUGGACUUUUCCAUUUUUUAUAGUUUAGAAUAUAUUUAUAUAAUUUUUCAUUUUGUUCAGAAACCUGAACUAAACCUGUGAAUGAGUACUUUAAUAAAAUUUAAAUGGACGUGGGUUCGAUUCCCAUCAGUUCCA